GGCGGCGGCUAGGGUUUCACUGGUUGGACAAUAAAUCUCAAAUAAUUGCUGGAAUUGCUUAUGCGUGUUGAAGAGGGUUGAUCGUUGGAAAGUUUCUGAAAUCAGAUUUGGCAAAAGUCAUCACCUUCUUAAGGAUAUAUGGUUCCACAGUCAUGUAUGUUUAUCGUACUUAAUAAACUACUUCCCAAAUUCAUACUCUUCAAGAAAUGUGAAGGUCGCCCGGUUGGGUAACGGGUCAAAACAUGUUGUGGUCAAUGCUGGUGGAUAAAAUCAACUGGACAGUAUCCUACCU